rnacentral:rRNA from 1 species
UACGGGGGGGGCAAGCGUUGUUCGGAAUUACUGGGCGUAAAGGGCUCGUAGGCGGCCAACUAAGUCAGACGUGAAAUCCCUCGGCUUAACCGGGGAACUGCGUCUGAUACUGGAUGGCUUGAGUUUGGGAGAGGGAUGCGGAAUUCCAGGUGUAGCGGUGAAAUGCGUAGAUAUCAGGAGGAACACCGAUUGCGAAGGCAGCUCGCUGGGACGUUACUGACGCUGAGACGCGAAAGCGUGGGGAGCAAACAGG